CGGUGCAGGAUGAGCCCGCGGCCUAUCAGCUUGUUGGUGAAGGUAAUGGCUCACCAAGGCGACGACGGGUAGCCGGCCUGAGAGGGCGACCGGCCACACUGGGACUGAGACACGGCCCAGACUCCUACGGGAGGCAGCAGUGGGGAAUAUUGCACAAUGGGCGAAAGCCUGAUGCAGCGACGCCGCGUGAGGGAUGACGGCCUUCGGGUUGUAAACCUCUUUCAGCAGGGAAGAAGCGAAAGUGACGGUACCUGCAGAAGAAGCGCCGGCUAACUACGUGCCAGCAGCCGCGGUAAUACGUAGGGCGCGAGCGUUGUCCGGAAUUAUUGGGCGUAAAGAGCUCGUAGGCGGCUUGUCGCGUCGGUUGUGAAAGCCCGGGGCUUAACCCCGGGUCUGCAGUCGAUACGGGCAGGCUAGAGUUCGGUAGGGGAGAUCGGAAUUCCUGGUGUAGCGGUGAAAUGCGCAGAUAUCAGGAGGAACACCGGUGGCGAAGGCGGAUCUCUGGGCCGAUACUGACGCUGAGGAGCGAAAGCGUGGGGAGCGAACAGGAUUAGAUACCCUGGUAGUCCACCCCGUAAACGGUGGGCACUAGGUGUGGGCGACAUUCCACGUCGUCCGUGCGCGCAGC
rnacentral:rRNA from 1 species